rnacentral:rRNA from 1 species
CCUACGGGUGGCAGCAGUGAGGAAUAUUGGUCAAUGGGCGCGAGCCUGAACCAGCCAAGUAGCGUGAAGGAUGACUGCCCUACGGGUUGUAAACUUCUUUUAGAGAGGAAUAAAGUGAGGCACGUGUGCCUUUUUGUAUGUACUUUAUGAAUAAGGAUCGGCUAACUCCGUGCCAGCAGCCGCGGUACUACGGAGGAUCCGAGCGUUAUCCGGAUGUAUUGGGUGUAAAGGUAGCGUAGAUGGGUUGUUACGUCAGUUGUGAAAGUUUGCGGCUCAACCGUAAAAUUGCAAUUGAUACUGGCAGUCUUGAGUACAGUUGAGGUAGGCGGAAUUCGUGGUGUAGCGGUGAAAUGCGUAGAUAUCACGAAGAACUCCGAUUGCGAAGGCAGCCUACUAAACUGCCACUGACAUUGAUGCUCGAAAGUGUGGGGAUCAAACAGGAUUAGAUACCCUUGUAGUC